rnacentral:lncRNA from 1 species
UAAUCCAUAUCACAAAAAUAAUAUAAAAUUUGAUUGAAUUAAUCAAGGGUGGCUUUGAUACCGCUGUUAGAUUUUGAUGAUGCAGUGAAAUAUGAUUUCAAAUUUUUUUUUGCAUGCAUUCAAUAAUUGAAAACAAAGUUUAACAUUUAAACUAGUCUACCGAAACACAAAAGCCCUAGGAACAACUUGAUGACUGUAAUUAAAUAUCACAAACAUGCAUA